rnacentral:piRNA from 1 species
UGCAUUAACAUUGUCUUCAUC